GCGAGACAUGUCUGGGACCCAAGCAGACCCCCCAGCACAGCCUUUCCCUUGGCGUACAGUGUCUUUUGUGGAUUAUUUUGAAGACUGAAGAAAAGUUACUUGCAGUCACCCGGAAGGAAGUAGGGAAAGCCCUGAAAGAAGCCUUUGAUAUUGGGAAACCCCCUUUUGCAGAUGCUGCAGUCAUUCAGAUACUAACAGAGAAGAUGGAGGCUGCCUGGCAUGUCAGUGAGAGCCUGGGCGAGAAGGUGGAAGCUGUGUGCCUGGAGGAGUGCCUGAGGUUC